rnacentral:lncRNA from 1 species
AGUCUCUGAAGAAGGCAGAGGGCUGGCAUCCUUCUUUGUAGGCGCAACUGGGCAAGAUGCGGUGUCAGCUUGGGAUGGAAGAAGGAGCAAAGAGGCAGCCCUUUCCAGCUUUCAUGCCCUCAGAAUCCCUGGGAACUGGAGAGAAUUCUACUCCUGAUGCCAAUUUUCUUGGCGUUUCUCUGAUGUCUUGGAGAGACUGGCUUUUCUGUCUAAUUUCCCAUCCUUGGCCAUGAGUGCUUUCUGCCCGGAGAUCCUCUCCCUCUUUGUUGCUUCUUUUGGAUUUGCUUUUUCAGCCUCUCAGAGCAGCCCUUGCCUGGGACCUGCCGGAAGUCCAUGCACUGGGGCCGGGAGGGCAGGAAACAGGAGGCAAGAUGGGAAGUUGGGAUGGGCUGAUGUGCAGGUGACCCUGCAGCAGCUGUGACCAUCUCAACUCAAAGAUGAGCAUCAUUUGGGAUCGCAGCCAUCUGUGGGGUACCUUUAGAUGGAUUUUUAGGUGUGAGUAUGGAGUUUAGAAAAUUAUAAGACUGGGCAUCCCUGGUCAGCAAGGGCCGAAGCCCUGACCUUCACGUGACUCUCCCUGGCCUUGUGGACGUUUUCCCAGAUGGCAUGAGAUCCUCCAUGCUUCAGCCAGUGUUCAGCCUUGGUCCCCUCUCCCCCCAUCUCUAAACGCUGGGCCCUCAGGUCUCAGGGAUACAUCAGCCUCAAGUUUACCUCCUCUCUUGGCUUCUGCAGCCCUUUUCUUCCUGUCCAUCCAUCCGAUCUACACACGCUUCACGGUCAAGAUCCAGUUUUGUUUCUUCCUAGUACACGGCUCUGACCGCUUUGCUUUCUCUGACCAACCUCCAGUGGCCACCACGCUCUUCAGCAUGAAUUAAAUACUGUUUCAUUUUUGCCCCUGAUUCAUGGUUUCUCUAAACAGUCGCAUUUUGCCAUUGAGUCACCAUUUCUCUGAACUGUCCCAUUUUCCUUGCUGGUAAAUGAAGGGUUUCGAUGGAACACUUCUAAGGUCCUUGGCAGUUAUAAUAGUCUAGGUUCUAGGUCUGCUCCUCUUGUCUCCUCAUUUGGACUGUAAGCUCCAGGCAGGGAGAGUAUCUUUCCCUCGUUCUGACUUCCUCAAUCUUCCAGCUCAGUGCUGUGCCCCGAGUGAGUAUUCCCUAAGUCUUUUGUUGACCUGAUCUUUUGGCAUACUUUUUCCUACUGGAAAUGGAAGGAAUGAGAGCCUUAGAAGCCUGGUCUUGAGGUCUGGCCCAAAGAGAAGUUGUUCUGUAAUUUGCGGAUAUGGUGAAAACUGCUGUGAUGUCUUAAUACUCAGUGUCCUCUGCUGCAGGAAAUUUACCCUGGGGACUCUGCCCAGCACAGGAAGACAUCAGAUUAAAGGGGGUCAGGGGGACCCAGCAUAUAUAUUUGGUAGCAAAGUAGAAAAGAAUUCUUCGCUUGGUUCAGACCUUGGUUUGGCCGCUUCCCACAAUCACUUGUAUGAGGCUGGGUUGCUCACUGUAAACCCAAACCAAAACAACCACUGUGCUAGCUGCCCUGUGAUGGGAGUUAAAGACUUGUGAAAACAUUCUGUAAAUUGUGAAGCUAAUAGCAGUAGGUGUGAAGUGGCCUUGGAGGCGUGACUUAACAUCUCAAAAGUCAAAAAGUCAAAUGCAGAAACACAGCUUCAAAAGAGAGUAGCAAAGGGCUCUCUUUCUCUCCCUUUUUCACUCUUGGACAAAGACCCACUUCUGUACUCUGGAUGAUACUCUGUAGAGAACCCUCCCACCAAUCUCCGC